CUCCGAUGAUGAUCCAGCCAUGCUAAUACUGAUACGCCAGGCAGAUGCCUGGGUGUAAGUGAGUGAUACUCACCUUUGCACACUGAUUGUAUCCGUGUGUGCUGAGGAGA
ensembl:snoRNA